rnacentral:rRNA from 1 species
AAGUUUUUGGUUAAAUCUGUACGCUUAACGUACAGGCUGCCGGGAAUACUGCAGAGCUAGGGAGUGGGAGAGGUAGACGGUACUCGGUAGGAAGGGGUAAAAUCCUUUGAUCUAUUGAUGACCACCUGUGGCGAAGGCGGUCUACCAGAACACGUCCGACGGUGAGGGAUGAAAGCUGGGGGAGCAAACCGGAUUAGAUACCCGGGUAGUCCCAGCUGUAAACUAUGCAAACUUAGUGAUGCAUUGACUUGUGGUCAAUGCAGUGCUGCAGGGAAGCCGUUAAGUUGCCGCCUGGGAAG